AUUGAACGCUGGCGGUAGGCCUAACACAUGCAAGUCGAACGGCAGCACAGUAAGAGCUUGCUCUUACGGGUGGCGAGUGGCGGACGGGUGAGGGAUACCUCGGAAUCUACUUUUUCGUGGGUGAUAACGUGGGGACACUUACGCUAAUCCCGCAUACGGCCUACGUGUGAAAUCUUGGGAUCUUCCGACCUUGCACGAUUCAAUGAGCCGAUGUCGGAUUAGCUAGUUGGCGGGGUAAAGGCCCACCAAGGCGACGAUCCGUAGCUGGUCUGAGAGGAUGAUCAGCCACACUGGAACUGAGACACGGUCCAGACUCCUACGGGAGGCAGCAGUGGGGAAUAUUGGACAAUGGGCGCAAGCCUGAUCCAGCCAUACCGCGUGGGUGAAGAAGGCCUUCGGGUUGUAAAGCACUUUUGUUGGGAAAGAAAAGCAGCAGGUUAAUACCUCGCUGUUCUGACGGUACCCAAAGAAUAAGCACCGGCUAACUUCGUG
rnacentral:rRNA from 1 species